rnacentral:lncRNA from 1 species
UAAAACACCAUAACAGUGUAUGUAAUUCCAUCCAUCGGAAUCAAUCAAUUAAACACCAUUAUGUGAAGUGGAAGAAUCAUAAUAUGAAGUCGUAUACCUUCAACAUAAGGAUAUCAUCUUCUCCAAGUAAGUAUUAUUUUAUUAAUCUAGGGUUCUUCAUAUUUAUUCAUGUUUAUGCAUAAAUUGAUCUUACAUGUGUUAUCAAAGCGUGGUUUAAUUUUAGAUUAUCAAGUCGUUAUUUCAGAUUUGAAGUGUUGUUUGAUAAUAGUCGCAUGCCCUAAUUGAAGUAACGAUCCCAUGUUCUCUUGAAAUCGUAAUUUUGAAACCUGUAUCCAUUUUAGUGUUUGAACUCUAACGAUUUUAUUAUAAUUACUUAUUAAAAGGAAAAUUUGCAAAUCCAUUUUGGCGUUUGUUUUUUUAGAGAAAGUGAUUUAAUAGUCACACAUGAAUUUUAGUUUUUAGAUUCAUUUGAUGAAUGAUUUACUGCAUCAACUCAUAUAAACUAUCAUGUUUAAUGCCUACAACCUUUGAAAUUUCAAACUGAAAUUCAUAUGUCCAUUACUUAAUUUGUAAUGUUUCAUUGAUGCAUGCUUUAUUAAAAUUAAACCAAAUGCCAAAUAGCUAUGAUUUUGGAGCAAAGUCUAGUACGUUUUGUGAAGGAUAUCCCUCAUGAACAAAAUCUCUUGUGAAAAAUCAUUUUAAAUGGUAUAUGUUGUGGAUAAGUAAUGGGAUCAUAUAGUUAUUUGUCAUUAUCAUAAAAUUUAGAUAUUUUAGUUGGCAUCUAAUUGAAUAUUUCUUGCCGUCAUGAAGUUGUACUUUAUCUAUUCCAAAUUCAAAAUAAUUCGUUAUUUAUCAAGCGAAACUUUAUGUUACUAAUAAUCAUACAGUAUUGUCCUUAAGCAUGAACUGAAGACCACUAUAUGAUGCAAUUUAAAUUUAUUAUCAUAUUAUGCUUAAUAGGUAACCACAUGAUUUUGUUUGCGACUUCAUUUGUAUGUCGACGAGUGGUAUCUUUAAUGUCAAGCUUAAGUCACCGGACCAAAGAAAGGUUACAUAAGUUGACAUUAGAGUUUAUUAAACACCACAUUAUGCAACUGUGUGAGUUGUUAUUCAAAGAAUCUAAAGGCUAAUUGAAUAAUAAGUUAUGCAGUGAAAUUUCAAGCAUAAGAUGCAUGAAUGUUGUAUUUUUGCCCAAAGGUGAUUACAAUAUUUGUGUAGCAUAGUAUGAUUUUUGUACGCCAUUAUUUCCGGUUGUUGGUCUAGCCAAAGCAAAACUGAUAAUUGGUAGGGUAUCUAUAAAACCCAUUAUUUUGGUGUUAAUAAUAAACAUAUUGGUAUGUUUUAUCAUGCUAUCCCAUGAAAUGACUUUAUUUAAAAAAAAAAAAAGGUGAUAAGGAUAUUUCUAAUAAGGUCCAAAAUAUGGGUACUGUAAAUUUUGUUGCAAAUAUUGUCAUUACAAGGCCGUACCUAAUGAAUUUUUUUAGCUUGCAAGCAAAUGUGGAUUAUAUGCAUUUAUGAUUUAUAAGUUCAAUUGUACGGAUGUUUGUUUUUUUAUUACAUGAUUCCAUACAAUCCGAAAGUUGGAUUGAACUUAAGGAACAAUUAAUGUUGGGAAUGAUGAAGACUUGAACAUAGAAACACUUCACCUCACAAAUUAUUUUUCAUGUUUUUUUUAAAGUGGUUAUUCUUUAUGUCUUAAAGACACCAUUUAAUGUAUCAAGUUUAACUUGAAACUAAUUAUUUGUAUCUAAGUUAGCGUAUGAUGACUAUACUUUUAUGAUUGGAUACAAUAAUGUAACUGUUAGUUUCAAUUCCCAUAUUGUUGGUUAUGGUUGUUUGGAGGAAUACCUCUAUUAGUUACAAUUAAACAACCAUUUUAUGGAACCUUUAAUAUCGUUUAAUAUUGACGAGAACUUAAAUUGAGAAGUUUGAGACUUUAUCCACAUUGUGACAUUAAGGCUUAGGUCACAAAUCACAAUAUAGGAUGAUACGUGUCGUAAAAUGUUCUAUUGUAACUUGACUUCUCAUGAUUCAAUAAAUGCAUCACUUGUAUCCAAAGGAAUAAAUAAGGAUCUACAAGAUGCUCAAUUUACAAAAGCUUAUUAAUAUUAACCUCUGUAGAUCUUGACAAAGGUAUGUGGUCAAAAAUCACAUAUAACUUUUAUUGAUUAUUAUUCUUGAUGCAUGUAUCCGUACUUGAUGAAUGGAAAAUCUAAAUCUCUUCAAAUGUUUAAAAUGCUUGACGCCAAAGUUGAAAAUCAACUUGUCCAUAAAUUAUAAGCAUUCAGAUUAGAUAUAAGUGUCAUAUAUUAUAUGGUAAGCAUACAAAACUUGGAAACGGACCCCAAUCUUUCUUUGAAUUUUGUAAAGAUCAUG